AUUGCACUUGCGUGAAACGAAGAAUUCGGAGAGGAAAGCGAACAAGAAGGCAGACGGAGAGCAGCAACAGUUGAGUGGUUGAAUGGAGAUUUCAUCUUGUUUAUAAUUCAAGACUGCAAAUAUGCCCAGAAAAGGCUGCUUUUCGAGGUUUGAGACAGGAGUUCAACUCUUCUGGCGCGCCCUAGAGGAAGAGAAGCGCAUGCAGGAGCCGCUGUGGAAAUGGAGCGCGUUUCAAGAGCGAAACUCACAAGUAGGGGAAAGCGUGACCAGAGACCUUUCGAGGACAACAAGAACGGAGACUCAAGCGAAGACAGCGGCGGGGACCGAGGUCUUUAAACAUGGCCACAGUGACCGCCACGCGCCUCCUCCUCCGCGCCUCACGGUAUACCCCUCAAACGCGCUUUCACUUUCUCUCUCGUCCUCGUUCAGGUCGAUGCGCAUGUUCUCGUUCAGAAAGCCUCACCUGGCUGCAGGACUGCAGGCCCAUCUGUUCCUCUCUUUCGUUGCCUCUGAGAUUUCCUUCUCCUCGAAGUGUCCAACUCACAUGCGUUCCAGUGUUGCAACGGCAGGGUUCUCUGAAGCCGUGUGCCGACGCGAGAAUCUUGAGAAGCUCUUUCGAGUGCACAGACAGUCCAUUUCGGGUGGUUGAGUUCACUCUUUCUUGCUUUUCCUCGUCGUUCCCACCUGCGCGGUGCACAGCUUUUCUCUUUUCACCGUGCGUCUGCGGGCUGGUCAAUCCUCUGUGAAGGACUGCAGGGAGUUCCGCUUUCGCGUUGGGCUGCGGGUUCGGUCACGAACCUCUUUGAGAGCAGAGAGGCCAGAGAGUGAGGAGGAGGUAAGGCGUCGGCUGGCAAAGGGGGGUACACUCUCUGCUUCUGCUUCAAGGCGUUCGUGUCACCUUGGAGGCCCGGUGGUUGACGAGAGAAGGAACCUGCUGAGGGUCUUGACUCUUCGCUCUCUCUUCUUGGCAACUCUUUGCCCGAGGACCUCUCCCUCAUCCGGUCGGUGACAGUUGGAGCAGGCGACGCCUUCGUCCUUCUUUGUGGGCUCUUCGGUCGCGGCAGGGGAUUCUCAGAAACGAGCAAGCAACUGCUUUUUUGCCCGCGAUCCCCAGCCGAAGGAAGGGAACUCGCCAACCGAGAAGAAAGGAGUGCGGUCGUCGCCUUCUUCUCUUCCUUCUUACCUCCUUUCUUCUCUCCGGCAGUGGCGGGUGGCCCAAAUCGUCUCGCGAGGCGCAUUGAGAGGGCCGCCCUUGUGGCGGCCUCGGCACUCUGACUCUUGGUCGGAGGCCGCGUUGAUUGAGGACAGGCGAAAGAAGUAAGCGGAGAAAGACUCGUUCGAGAAGACUGAGAAGAGAGACAAGAGUUCGAAGAGUUAGUGGAGUGAAGUGAGCGAGAAGCAAAUGGCGAGGGAGAGGCACCUUUGUCGAGUUUGAUGGAUUUCGUUGCACUCUGCUUCGUUGCUGGGCGAGGAAGAGGAGGCGGACGUUGAGAGGACGCCGGUGGUUGACGUGGAGGAUCGUCGUCGAGAACAGUCGACGGAGAAGAAAACGAGAACUCCGGAUGAAACCGAAGAGGAGUUGAGGAAGUGGCAGAGGCAGGGCGCGAAAGCAUCUCUUCCGUCUCCCGCAGAUCCCGGCGCAGAGCCUAGGACACGCAGGCAGAGCAUUGGAAAAAGCGAGGAGUAAUAGAAAACUGGAGACUUUGCCAGCAACAUGUGCUCUGAGAAAGGGGCAAGAGAUGCACGAGAUGCCUUCUUCUGCGCAACUUCAAAAGACAGAAAAUGUGGCAGGCAGGCAGGCCUUUUGUCGGAGCGACGACGGCAGGGGCGAGAGCCUCGCUGCAGGCAUCGUGCAAGCGCGCUGGUCGUCAGUGAGAGCCAGGCCCGAGAACAUGCAGUGACAAAGGAUCCGCGACCCAGAACUGGUUGUGUCAACUCGAAGACACAGAGAGACACUCUUUCUGCCUCCAGACGUUCGAGAUUCGGCGGGAAUGACGGCAACGAACGGAGGUGCGCGGCAAGAGGAAAAAACGCGGAAUCAGACACCAGCCACAAGGACGCGAGGGCGAGGAAUGGAAAGAACUUUUCGACUAAUGGCUUGGUUCUUAGAGGUUCCUCUCCACCUGAUCCACGUUUUGCCGCGUUGUCGCAGCACAGCUAAGGCGGUGAGUGUCGCAGAGAUAGAACUAAUAGACCACCGCGUAUUGAUGCAACAAAGAGUGCCAGAGAGGGCAAUCUGGGAACCUGCGUCGCAUCCUGUUCGAUACGAGUGAGGCAUGCAAGCCGCCAGCCCAGCAGGCGAGAAAUCGAGCGUCAAGCCAGUUGUUCAAAGUCAGCUAGGAUGGUGAGACACACGAGUGAAUGUCAGCUCAGGGCAGAAGGCGGGAGGUUCGUUCAGGGCCAGGAGAGCGAUAUUUCGAGAGAAAGGCGACGGUAGGAUGCGUCACCUGCGUUUUUCUGGAAAAAUGGUGUCGUUUUCACAAUACAAAGAAACAGCCCACACGCAAGAGAGGCUCGAUGGGGCCUCUUGUUUAAAACCGCGUCUAACAUGGAUAACCGCGUGUCCGCUGUAUCUGCUUGCGCCUCACCUUGAGGUUUUCUUCGUUCCUCUUGAGCAAAGCCUCGAGGUCUGCGUCGCUGCCUUCCUCUCCAAUGACCGCCCCGAAUUCACUGUCUUCUCUCUUUUCCGGCACCUGCUCCUCUUCUUCUUCUCCUUCUGCUCCGGUUUCUGCGUUGCCUUCCCCACUGUCACCUGUUGGUCUCGUUUGGAGACUGUCGAGUUCCGCUUCUUCACCUACGGCCUGUCUGUAGGCCGUCAGAUAGGUGUGUUGCUUUUCCCCGUCUGUUUUCUGCGUUGUGUCGAGCCACUGCUUCUCGCUGUGCGUGCAGCCGCCAGCUGCGCGGUCUGCUUCAGUCCUCGCCAGCGCCAAUGAGGCCUUGGAAGCCCUCGAGGCAGCCUUCGUCACGGGAGGGUCGACGAGGAGAGAAAAGAGCGAGGAAGGCGAAAACUCGUCGUCGUUCAGCGAAAGGCUUGGCUCUUCUGCGUCGGGGAAACGCGUCUCAACGUCGCGAGCAGAGAGAAGAGCGGAAGGCGAAUGGGGCGAAGAGGUGAGCAUGGUUAGGGCACACUUCGACUUGUUGAGGGGAGCAGAAGCAGAGAAACUGUGACGGGCGUUGCCAUAAGACUUCGGAAACGUCGAGGCCUGGGGAUUCUCCGAGGAGGCGUUCGUUGGCUUCUGUGAAGAGGAACAAAGGACAGCACGCGAGCACAACUUCCAAAGGCACCGGUUCACAGCAUGCGAGGAAGCGAACGGCAAGUCGGAUCUGCAUCGAUACACGGGGUGUAGCCAAGGAGUCUGCACAGGGAGUUCAUAGGGGAAGUGUCGAUCGGAAAGGGCCUCUCACAGAUUCGAGAGAUCUCCGGGCGACAGCGGGCGGCUCUUGAUAAUCCAGAUUUCCUGGUGGGGCGAACUCUCCUCUUCUUUCUCCAAUACCAUAUGCGGUAUUUUGGCUACUUGGAGGAUACUGCGUGUCUGACGUAACAUUAAAGCGAUUCUUUGUUUUACAUUUUAUCUUGCAUUUUUACCAAUGACAGUCACAGAGAGAGACAGCAGCUGCCCAAGGAAAUCUCAAACAUGCACAAGUGUCGUCUUGCUCAGCUGCUACUCUUGCCCGAAGGAGGACGCUGUGCUGUCGUCCUGGCGCGUUUUCACAAUAGGACAAAGCGUAACUUGCGCGAGUUGGAACUAUAUGUUGUAGACUAGAUCUACCGCAUUUAUUACAGCUUUUGUGCUAGUGUUUCCUUCAAAGCUUUUAACAGGUGGAUCAGUUACGACUCUACUCGAAGUACGUGCAUGUACCGAAUUGUACGAUUGCGUGUCAUCAGAGAAGAUAGCGCAGCACAUCACCAGUCAUUCUGGUUCUCCGGAGAGCCAGAAGGCCUCUGCCGGACUGCUUAAGACAACGAUAAGAGUUGGAGUUGAGUUGCCUGCGACCGUUGCUGCGUUCUUGUCGCUCUUUCAUUCCUACGCGUGUUUUUCUUGACGCGUCCAAGUCGACUCGAAGGAGUUCCACGUAGGCGACAAGACGCUCCAAACGCUUCCUCAGAACCCCGUUCUCCCAGCGUAGCAUGUCUGCUUCUGCUUCCCUAGCUUCCUGUGCCGCUCGACUGUCUUCUUCUUCCCCUUGCGCAUUCUCCUUGCUUUCACCUUCGUCUUCGAGAGACCCUCUCAUCCUUGCACGUCCUUUCUCCUCGUCCCCCUCGUCACCUGCGCCGUCUGUCGAUCCGCAUUUCAGUCCUUCCCCUUCCUCUCCCAUCAAAGGAAGAGUUGAACGAGCCACGUCGGGCACAUCGACAGAACGAAAACAAACUUCCGCCUUUUGUCGAGGCUCGCAAGACACCUGGCGCCCAAGCGCCUUUCGAGGCAGCAACGGCGACUCGACACUCGCCGCCGUCGAGCCGGCAGAGGGUCUUGGGUGAGAGGGCGAAGAAGAUUCGCGUUCGUCGUUCUGCACACAGAGACAUGCAAAAAAGAGAGGUAACAAGAGUACCUAAAUCCUGGACGCAAACGUGAAAUGGCAAGAUAAUCAGGCUGGUGCUCAGAUCUGGAACUGCGGCUACUGUUCUGCGUCUGCAGCCACAAGAUUUGGACGCAGAACGAGGGACCUGUCGAAUAAAGCUACAUGGGGAUCGAAAACGGGGUACACCAAACUGCAGGAACGGAGACCUAGAAAGCGGCCUUCUGUAGCAAGAAUCUCGUUUACCCCCGAAAACCGCUAGAGGAAACGUUUUCUGUUCGUGUUCCUCCGUUGUUUGGCUUUCCUUUUCCUCCCGUGAUUCGUCCUCUGAUCGCUUCCGCUAUACUUCAGACAUCCUGUGUGUUACACAGAUACACGGAAUUUCACAGACGUUAUUAGCUGUACGUAAACGCAAACGAAAAGUCGUCACGCGUUUACUUGACGUUUUUUCUCCCAGCUCGUAAACAUGCGUUGUCCUCCUUCUCCUUUCCUCCCGGGCUCUCUUCCCCUGUCUGAUUACCGAGGAGUCUGCAGCGGGAAGGAAGCUCGGCAUCGCCGUGUUCGGUCUUGGCUGCGAAAGUUUCACUGCAAAAGCCUCUUCAGCGACAGAGGUUUUGACCUUCAUUUCGCUGCUUUCCACGUCUCGGGCACUGAAGCAUCUGAGGCCGGGACCGGAGAAGGCAGGAGUGGUUACCAAUAAAUUAUGAGGAGCGAGCAACGGCACUUUUCUUCUCGCGGAAGCCGGAAGUCGGAACGGCCCUAGACGCAACUGCAUGCGCAGCCGCGCAUUCUCUUCCAUCAGGUCGUACAUGUUUCGGUUUUCUUGCUUCAGCAGUUUCACAGUUCUUUUCAGCGAGGCGAGACUGGGCUGCUCGGCCUCCUCAGGGGCUUCGUCCCAGAGCAUGUCUUCUUCCUGCCCACUUCCGAACGCAUCUCCUGCUGAGUCUCGUUCGUCUCCAAGUUCCAUUUUCAGGCUCCCUGUAGGACUGGAGGCUUCCUGAGAGGAGCCGCGGGCUCGGGGAGAGGACGCGUCGGAAGAGAGAGGAGGGUGAGUGGACUGUGCGGUCCGAAGGCACUUUGCAGGGCUCCCGGGCAAGAAGCCGUCACGAAGAGAGCAAGGCGAUGAGUGCAGAUCUGUCGAAUGCGGCUCCCCUUCCGAUGGAUCCCUGCUGCGUUUGGAAGAGCAGGCGAGGUCUUUAAAAGCAGAAAGUAUCUUGGUCGGGGGUUUCAGGCGAGAAAUAGGGACGCCCCCUAGAAGGCGAAGGGUGGGACAGCACUGGAGCAGCAGAUCGAGCUUGUUUUUUGAGUCUUGGAGAGAGAAGGAGACAGUGGAGACAGACGACGCGGGCUGUGUCUUUGCGUCGGGGUGUGCGGAGGUUUCGGCUUGUCCGUUCUGGUCUGAACGGAGGGCUGUCCGUCCCAGUGGCGGACUGUCUUGGAAACUGUGAUCGCUGUCAGAGGGCGAAGCAGAGAGAAACGGAUUCGCGUCGAGAUCAAGUUCGAGGAGGCCCGGAAGGUGAGAUAAUUCAGUCACAAGAGAGGAGAAGGGGCCGCGAAGACAGUUCUGGAAGAGAUUCAAAAUUUCGAGGCCUUGGCAAUUCCGAAUGCCCCGAAUGCACCGAACAUGAUUGUGAGCCACCCACAGCCGGCGAAGCGCCUUACAUGCAAAGAUCGGCGAGAUAUCCGUAAUUCUAUUGAAGCUUAGGUUCACAUCUGCCAGGGUAGGAGCCAGGACCAAAAGAGGUGUAAUGUCUGUUAGCUUGUUGUGAGAAAGCGAGAGAGUCGACAGAGUUUUGAAGACUUGCCAGUCGCACGCGCCUUUCGCUCUGUCGAGGGUGGUGAGCUUCUGCCCACGCGCGACGAGAAUUUCAACUUCCUCAGGCUUUUCGUCCCCUAUCAGUUUCUGAACGGUGGACUCUGAAAGUGGCCGCUCCUUUUCAUCGCCGUCGUCAGAAAAGUCUACACACGUGUCCACCGAAAGCUCAGGGAAGAGCAGCUUCGCGUAGUCUUUACUCUCCACGCCCGAGGGGCUCGAAGAAGCGAACCCACCAGCACCAGAAGUGCCAUUCCCAGGCUUUAGCGUACGUUGCUGACUAUCUGCGUUUGAUGAACCUCCGACAGGUGACAGCGGCGAUGCUGUGGCCUCUUCCGUUUGUGACACAGGCCACAGCACUCUUGUGGGAUGACUCGUUUUUUCAUCGCUUUUCUCGCUGGGUUCAAAACCGCUUUCCAUCUCGGACUCCUCGAACUCCAGUGCCUCGUCGAGCGACGUCGGCAUUCUCGGUUUCCCCUCGUCUUCACUGCUCUGUGCUACUUCUGAGCCGGCCAUAUUGGACUGGACAUGAACCGUCUGAACCGUGUGAGGAGAAAGAAGGCACACACACCUCCUGUCUGAAGACUUAACUGCGUUAGCGCCGUGUUUAUUUCGAAGGGCAUCCGUUAGGAAAUGGAGUUUGCCCGCCUU
rnacentral:lncRNA from 1 species